GAUGAACGCUGGCGGCGUGCCUAAUACAUGCAAGUCGAGCGAACAGACGAGGAGCUUGCUCCUCUGACGUUAGCGGCGGACGGGUGAGUAACACGUGGAUAACCUACCUAUAAGACUGGGAUAACUUCGGGAAACCGGAGCUAAUACCGGAUAACAUGUUGAACCGCAUGGUUCAACGGUGAAAGACGGUCUUGCUGUCACUUAUAGAUGGAUCCGCGCCGCAUUAGCUAGUUGGUAAGGUAACGGCUUACCAAGGCAACGAUGCGUAGCCGACCUGAGAGGGUGAUCGGCCACACUGGAACUGAGACACGGUCCAGACUCCUACGGGAGGCAGCAGUAGGGAAUCUUCCGCAAUGGGCGAAAGCCUGACGGAGCAACGCCGCGUGAGUGAAGAAGGUCUUCGGAUCGUAAAACUCUGUUAUUAGGGAAGAACAAAUGUGUAAGUAACUAUGCACGUCUUGACGGUACCUAAUCAGAAAGCCACGGCUAACUACGUG
rnacentral:rRNA from 1 species